rnacentral:lncRNA from 1 species
UUGCACCAGGAGCCGUUGCACCAGGUGCUAAAGCAUGGGUGUUUUGUAUCCAUUAAGCAAAAACGGGUUGUAAUUGUAUAGCGGUAUCUGAAAACAUAUCUUGAGGACACCCUAAAGCGCUCAUGGUAUCAUUAUGAAUAUACAAACCAAAAUUGUGAAAACCUAGAAAUAUACAUGCCCAGUUGAGAUGGGAUUUGAUUGCAUCACGAUGCCUAAGGACACGAUCUAAUAGAUUGUUGUAUCGAGUAGUUGGAUCAUAAUCUCUUACCAUAAAAAUAGUUGCAUGCGCGGUAACACCAACUAUGAGAAAUCCACCAAUCCACAUGUGAUGUGUGAACAAUGACAGUUGUGUACUAUAGUCAGUAGCUAGAUGUGGAUAAGGGGGCAUGGAAUACAUAUGAUGAGCUACAACAAUGGUUAAAGAGCCUAACAUAGCUAAGUAAAGAGAUAAUUGAGCAUACCAUGACGUUGUUAGGAUCUCAUUUAGUCCUUUAUGGCCCUGACCUGUAAAUGGACCUUUAUGGGCUUCUAAAAUAUCUUUUAGUCCAUGACCAAUACCCAGUUGGUCUUAUACAUGUGACCCACUAUCAAGAAAAGAAUUGCAAUAGCUAAAUGGUGAUGGGCAAUAUCAGUCAGCCAUAGACCCCCAAUUACUGGAUCUAAUCCUCCACGAAAAGUAAGAAAGUCCGCAUAUUUUGACCAAUUCAAGGUGAAAAAUGGGGUUGCUCCCUCGGCAAAACUGGGAUAAAGUUGAGCCAAAAGAUCUCGAUUCAAGAUAAAUUCAUGAGGAAGUGGUAUCUCUUUAGGAUCUACUCCAGUUUUUAGAAAUUGGUUAAUCAGUAAAGAUACAUGUACUUGAUGCUCCGCCCAAGAGAGAGACCCAAGUCCUAGUAGCCCUGCCAAAUGGUGAUUCAGCAUAGAUUCUACAUCUUGAAACCAAGCCAAUUUUGGCGCCGCUUUAUGAUAAUGAAACCAACUAGCAAAAAGCAUUAACGCUGCAAAGACCAAUGCCCCAAUUGUUGUACAAUAGAGUUGUAAUUCACUAGUUAUUCCAGAUGCUCUCCAAAUCUGAAAAAAACCAGAGGUUAUUUGUAUUCCUCGGAAACCCCCGCCUACAUCACCAUUUAAUAUUUCUUGGCCCACUAUUGGCCAAAUCACCUGGGCACUAGGCCCAAUGUGACUUGGAUCACUUAUCCAUGCUUCAUAAUUAAAAAAACGAGCACCGUGGAAAUACAUGCCGCUCAACCAAAGAAAGAUGAUGGAGAGUUGACCGAAAUGUGCACUAAAUACUUUUCAAGAGAUCUCCUCCAAAUCACUGGUAUGGAAAUCGAAAUUAUGAGCAUCAUCAUGUAGGUUCCAGAUCCAAGUGGUAGUAUCAAGCCCUUUAGCUAUUGUUCUUGAGAAAUGAUCCGGUCUGGCCCAUUCCUCGAAAGAAGUUUCUACGGGAUCCCCAUCUACCAAAAUUUUAACUUCUAGUUCCGGCGAACGAAUAAUCAUUGAGUCCUCCUCUUUCCGGACAACACAUAAAAAGAGACCCGCCAACAGUCAAAUAAUUAGUGAACCUUAGAGAUAGAGAGAUAUUUCUAUAAUCAGUUCAUUUCUCUUCUAUUUUUCUAUCUACCAUCUAUCUAUUUUCUUUAGUUAUUUACUAGAGCAAUUAUGAUCUAGAAGUCAAUCUGGGGAAAGUGUUCAGAUCUAUUAUGACAUAGCCUUGAGGCGCUCAACGGACCCUUUAACCUUUUAAAAACCUUUUUGGGCUUUGGAUUGAUCCAAAAACGACUUUUUUGUGCAACCUAGUGUAUAUUCAUAGAAGUUAUUAGAUGGAGCUCUUUAAUUUUUUACCUAGAAGAUUGUAAUUACUCUAUUCCAAAUCACGCUAGUAGCCAUUAGACAUUACUAAGAGACAUCCCCGGUAUAUAUAUAUUUAGUGAUUCAAGGGUUUCUUUUAUUAGUUUUAAUACUAAUAACUAAUAAGAAUUUUGUUUAAUUGAAUUUUUUCAUUUUAAUAUUUUUUAAUUUUAAUUUUAAUAUAUUUUAAUUUUAAUAUAAAUAAAUAAUUUUAAUAUAUUAAUAUAAAUAAAUAAAUAAUAAAUAAAUAGAAUAAAAAGAAGUCUAUUUUGUCCUCUAUCUGUCUUUUUUAUUCCUAAAAAAUAGCAGAUGAAUAUAGAAGUGAAAUAGAAGGCUUAGAAGGGAGAUAAUGAAAUUAUGUGAUUGGGUCUUCCAAAAGCAAAGGAAUGAUCCGUUUUUUAGUUAACUGAUCUGAUGGGUCCAACAAACAAUUAAUUAUAACAAAUAUCUAAAUUCUAAAUAAAGGAUAAUAAAUAAAGGGGGUCUUCUUUUAUUCGAAACGUCUCGUGAUCUUCAACCAAUUAUGCGCUUCAAUAUAAUUACCGGGAGUAAGCGCUAUAGCCUGUUUCCAAUACUCAGCGGCUUGAUCGAACCAAGCCUCUGCAAUUUCAGAAUCUCCCUGUUGAAUGGCCUGUUCUCCCCGGCCGGAAUAGGUAGUUCAAUUCCUUCCCUUAGAACCGUACUUGAGAAUUUCUUACCUCAUACGGCUCAGCAGUCAAUUCUUUUGGUGUCCCAUUUUGAUCUAUACCAUAUCUAUCUAAUCAGAUUUCUCAUGGAUCUAUCCCAGUUUUAGGGUUAACCAAAAGAAAAAUAGGUUAAUUACAUGAGUUUCAAACUGAAAUUUGGAUGAAUAAUCCGUUUAUUUAGUUUUAUCUUUUUUCCCACCUUCAGAAGAAUAAAGCAUAGGCAUUUCUACUACUGGUAGAAUUUUCUGAAAGGUAACUAUCUCGGUUUCAUAGAUAAAUUUAUAUAGAAUCUUUGAAAAAGGCUUUCUUUCAUAAGAAAGAAAAUACUUACUAUCUUUGGGAUCUGAUCCUACACCGCUGCUCAAGACUUUAGUGGAUCGACUCUAUUACAUAAGUUAAUUCCUAAUUCUUAUCUCACAUUAUGAGAUAAGUACGCAGUUAUUAUUGUAUCGGCCCAAAACCUCGCUAAUUGAUCUUUACGGUGCUUCCUCUCUCUCUAUCAAUUAAAGCCUUAUAUCCAUAGAAAAAGUUGCUAGGCAUUUUUAUUUUUUCCUAUUUUGACUUCUAUGAAGUUUCUUUCUUUGCUACAGCUGAUAAAAAUUGUUGUUUUAGAUGAUGCAUAUGUAGAAAGUCUAUUUGGUUCUAGUAGUUACUUUACUAGAUUUUUCUUUUUUUUCUUUCUAUAGUGGAGAUAGUCGAAUGUAAUGACAGAUCAUGGCCAUACUAUUAAAAUCUUGUGGUAAGAAUGGGUUUCGUUCUGGUGCUCGAAAAUAAUGUUCCAAAGCUUUUGUAUGUUCUCCAUUAUUUGUGUGGAUAAGCCCUAUAUUAUAGAGUAUAUAACUUCGAUCAUAGGGAUCAAUUUUUAGUUACAUAGCUUCAUAAUAAUUCUGCAAAGCUUUCGCGUUAUUUCCUUCGGAUUGAGCCGACAUCCGUUACGGUCGUCAUUCAAUUGAAAGAAUCUCUGUCCCAAAAGCGUACGUGAGAAUUUCACCUCAUACGGCUCCUCCCUUGUGUGCAUAAUGAGAAUAAUACAUAGAAUAAAAAAAGAUUUAAUGAUGAAAAUAUUCUCAUUAUGAACUCAGCAGGGCUAGUAUUUUUACAAGAAAUCUCUAGCCAACCUUCCUGCAAGAGAUUCUUUCUUAACAUCAAGCCUAUUGGGACUAGAUAGAAAUGAUAAGAUAACUCCAACAAUUUCUUUGUUUUUAACGCCAACUAAUUUACAGGAAUUAGUCACUUCAAUAGCCUUCGAUGGUUAUAUGGGUAUCCAAAGGAAGAACUAGAUGGAUGUUUAUUGUCCCAACCAUUCUUUUAGUCUUAAGCCCGCUAAGGGAAGGACUGACUUAGAACAAAGUUUUCGUGUUGUUGAUUCCUAGGUGUAGCACUUCUUCCCCUAUGCUGCCUAUUAGCGCUAGUAGAGUAGGAUUGACCCGUAAUAUAGAACCUCUAGGUGUAACCUUUCGCUUAAUACUAGAAUCGACAACUAAAACAUAAAAUCUGAGGUUGCAUUAAUCGAGGAUACACGACAGAAGGAAUUGUUCGAUUUCCAAACUUCACCUUCAAAAAGCGUAGAUUUUUUUUUUUCGAAAAAUUUGUCAAAUCACAUGUUUUUCUCCUCAUAAGACUAAGAGAAAUGAAUAAAUAUGAAAUAAAAAAAAGAAUCAAAUCCCACCAUCUCUGUAAUAGGUAAAUACCUCUUUUUCUCCUGAAGUUGUCGAAAUUACUCGUAAUAAGAUAUUGGCUACAAUUGAAAAGGUCUUAUCAAUAAAAUUUCCAUUUAUACGUGAUCUAGGUAUAGGUAGCAAUCCAUUCUAGAAUUCUUCUCAUUACCUCUCGUGGGAAAAAGAUCCCACAAAGUAAAAAAUUGUAUAGUACGAAAUAACAUAAAACCUUAUUUUUUUUAAGAAAAAAACAAAAGAUAUGAAUCCUCUAUUCCAAUUGUUCCUUUUUGACAGGAGUCGCUAAGAAAUAAGAAAUAUUUCAACGCGAUUCGAUUUCAUACUAAUGUAGUAGUAUAGGAUGUAGUAGUAUAGGAACUAUUCCGAUUUCGGUGAAGUUACAAAUUAGAAGAACUCGAGAAAUUUUGAUUGAAUCAUGAUACAAAUUACAAAGAAGAAAAAAGAUCGAAUAAUCAUUCUAUGAUGAAAAUAGAAUAACUGACAAUUUUGUGUAGAUAACGGUAUAUACUAUACAAUCAAAUCUCAAUUAUUUUAUGAAUUUCUAUUCUAAUAGAGGGGUAGGUAUUUGUUGUUGAGAACUCCAAAACCGAAAAGAAAUUUGAAAUUUUUUUUGGUACGGAAUCAUAGUCUAUAUCUAUAUAAUUAGAAUUAUGAUUUAAGAGUAGCCAUUAACUAUAGUCUAAAAGAUAUAGACCAUCAAUCAGUUGAUUCGUUCUAAUUCAUUGAAUUAAUCCGUUAUAAAAAUAUCAGAAAAAAAAGGGAACGUUGCUUUUGCAAACAUGAAUUAAAU